UACAUUUCUUUCCCAUGCGCAAGAGCCACAGACACGGUCUCCGUGCGGUCAAUUAAAGCUAGUUACAAUAACGAUUCUAUACGUUAAAGACAGAAAGGACAGUUAAACUUUUAUGAAAUUACAAAAAUUGCCACUCACUCUAUAUCAUGAUACAUCAGCUGUUUCUCUCUCAUAUCUCUUUCAAAUCCAUUUCUCCCCAAAAUCAAAACCUCUCUUCCAUUUUGGCGGCUAAGCAACAAUUCGAGGCUCCGGUGACGAAGCAACAAAUCGAGGCUCCGGCAGCGAAGCAACAAAUCGAGGCUCCGGUGGAGAAGCAACAAAUCGAGCCUCCGGAGGCCAAACAACAAGGCGAGCCUCCGGCGGCGAAGCAACAAAAUGAGGCUCCGACGAAGCAACAAAACUAGGCUCCGGCGUAGGCCUUGAAGAUAAAUCACAGUGGCAAAGAGGAAGGCUGUUGUAAUGGAAGAAGAUGACAAAAUGUGUAUUUGCUACUACAUGGAAUAUGCUUGCAGCAAUGUUUUCUAUAACCAAGAAGUCAAGGAUAGAAGAGUUUAGGUAGAAAAUGUGCUAUAAAAUUGGAAAGGAAAUCAAAGAAAGCCUCAAGCACAUGAGAAAAUUUUGUUGGAGAAACUUCUUCAUCAUGAGAAGACCUGGAAUUUAAAGCAACUUAUAUGGGGAAGCAGCAAAGCCAUAAAAAAAUAUAUAUUGUUUAAGUUUCAUUCUGUAAAAUGUGUAAAUAAAUUUUGGGAUGUUAUUAUAUAAAUGAGUAGUUUAUUAGAAAAGUCAAGAUGAAAUGUAAUAGUUCUCUAUUUCUUUGUAUAUUUCACAACCUCAAAAAAAUAUUAUUUAUAUAGCAAAGACGUGAGCAUAAAUAGA